CUUCAGUAAGACGAUGCCUUGUUUGUGAAGAGGAGUGGUGUUAACGGUGGAGUGGGGAAAGACUUUCAUGGCUGUGCAGCUAAGCUGCAGAAAGUACACCCUGUCAGUGUUUCACUUCCGAAGGUGAAACCACAUUUCACACACAACACCGCCUGCUCCCCUCAACUCCACCGCACAUCUCGGAUUAUUUCACUGUCUCGGGAAACUACGGUAUCAUCACAAAAACACGAAUCUUGCAAUGGAAAUUCGGUAGCACAAUUAUAGUACAGCACAGUAGCUGUAGUGCUACGCUGGCUCAGUGGUUAACUCUGCUACUUCGGUAAGUGCUCGGGUCACAACUUCAAUUCCACCCCCGGGAAGCUGCAGGUGAGGAGUUUGCACGUUCUCUCUGAGUGCCUUUUGUCCAUGUGCGCUGGGUUCCUCCCACAACACAAACAUGCACAGGCAGAAAGAAAUAACGAAAGAAACAUUCUCUGCCUUGUGAUCUAUAAGAGGACGUCUCAGUGCCUGAGCCGUCACUCUCGCAACAGAGGACGCAGCCAUUCAGUUCCAGGAGCCAGCAAACAACAUCAACUAUGUGAAAUCAAGUAUAUUGAUUCUGUGUCAGCGUAAUGGUGCUUACUCAUGAUUAUUUUGCCUUCCUCGGAAAAAAGCCAACCAUGGAAAAGUCCCAGCUGUUUAUUAAGUGCCUGCCAGAGGAGACCAUUCAUCGCGAAUGUGACAAGAUUCUUUUGCCAGAGAGACAAGUCAGAGCGCCUCCUAAGGGCACCGUGUCUUCACACUAUUGCAAGUAGCGUCGUCACAAUAUUGAGAAUAUUGUUCAAUGAAGAAUGACGAAAAAAGGACUGAGAGAUUCGUUGAUUUUAGGAAAAACAAUUGUUUUUCAAAUGUGUAACUUUCUUGGAAACAUUUGCAACAUUAUUAAGAACAAGACUGUUUUCACUUGAAUCUUAAAGUCGGGCUAAGCGAUGUAAGUUGGAGAUUCAAAAAAAUGGCCAGAUGUUACACAACAACACGUUUCACUCCAACAGCUUUAUUUGAAACCACAGGUUUUCGAUCCGCUCUUCCUUUGCCAAGUUCAGGAGAAUUCACCAUGAGGAAGGGGAAGCAUUUCGAAAGCUAUAAUUUCAAAUAAACCUGCUGAACUGUAGUACGGUGACAUGUAACUUCUGACCCUAUUCACCCCAAUCCAACACCAGCAUUUGCCAUCUUCACUGUUAGAAAACAUGGGCUGCGGGUACGAUAUUUUUGUUUUCACUUGAGGUGCCGUUAAUGCUUUUGAAUGGUUGACAAUGAGAUUUGUAGCUAAUAUUUGUGCAUCUCUUUGGGAAUAGGCAUAUUGUGUUUAUAACGUGGACAUGAAGUAAAACUCUGCAUAGAAUUUAA